rnacentral:rRNA from 1 species
GACGAACGCUGGCGGCAUGCUUAACACAUGCAAGUCGAACGAGACCUUCGGGUCUAGUGGCGCACGGGUGCGUAACGCGUGGGGAUCUACCAUAGGGUACGGAAUAACUCAGAGAAAUUUGUGCUAAUACCGUAUAAUGUCGCAAGACCAAAGAUUUAUCGCCCUUUGAUGAACCCGCGUAAGAUUAGCUAGUAGGUGGGGUAACGGCUCACCUAGGCGACGAUCCCUAGCUGGUCUGAGAGGAUGACCAGCCACACUGGAACUGAGACACGGUCCAG